GUCUCACCAAGCAGCGUGCACUCGUCCGCCAUCCCUCGCCCUCCCGGCACCAUCCUCCUCAGCGCCCCGGCCCGCGCCCGCCGCCUCGCCACGACCCGCGCGACAGCGCCAGCGGACCAGGCCGUAGUGGCUCCGCUCUUGGGCCUGGCCCGGACCCGGAGCCUCCGCCGCCUCGGGACGGUCUUCCUGCAGCCGGCUGCUGCCACCGCCGCCGCCGUCCCGCACGGCAAGCACGUCUGAUGGCCCGAAGGCCGUGCAUCGGCGCCGGCGACAAGCAGGUGGGGCGCGUCGUCGUCGUGCCAGUGCCACCGGCCAUGCUGCUGCGACUGCGACUGCGACGAGAGCUCCGCCGCCAAAGCCCGGCUCCAGCGCGGCGCGGCGCCCCGUGCGGCGGCGAGGGCGGCGUCGGCGGCGUGCCUGACGGCGUCCCUCCUCUCGCGCAGGCUCAUGGCACU
rnacentral:misc_RNA from 1 species